rnacentral:tRNA from 1 species
GCACGGGUGUCCGAGUCUGGUCAAAGGAGCUGGACCGAGGCUCCAGUGGCGAAGGCCUGCGAGGGUUCGAAGCCCUUCCCGUGCA